CUAGCGUUGUUCGGAAUCACUGGGCGUAAAGCGCACGUAGGCGGAUGUGUCAGUCAGGGGUGAAAUCCCGGAGCUCAACUUCGGAACUGCCUUUGAUACAGCACGUCUUGAGUCCGAUAGAGGUGGGUGGAAUUCCUAGUGUAGAGGUGAAAUUCGUAGAUAUUAGGAAGAACACCGGUGGCGAAGGCGGCCCACUGGAUCGGUACUGACGCUGAGGUGCGAAAGCGUGGGGAGCAAACAGG
rnacentral:rRNA from 1 species